rnacentral:lncRNA from 1 species
AGGAAAAAAGUAAUAGGAUAAGAGGACACAACCUCAGGUUAUGCCAGGGGACGUUCUUCCCUGAAAGAGCGAUUGGAUUUUGGAAUGAGCUGCCCAGCCCAGCGAGGUGGUGGACUCAAGAGUCCCUGGAAGAGUUAAGCAAUGACUGAAGAGGCACUCAGUGCCCAUGGUCGGGUUGAUAGGGAGGUGCUGGGUCAUAGGCUGGACUCCAUGACCUCGGAGGUCUUUUCCAAUCUGAUUCCGUGACCCCUUCCUUUCCAUUUGUGUUUUUUUUUUUUUUUUGUUUUUGUUUUGUUUUGAUUUUACUAUUUAACCUCGAUGCUGCCUGGAGUCCCCAAGCCCGAGACCCUGUAGCUUGCACCUGUCCCCAGGCCGAUGCCCACGGCAGGAGCAAACACAGGCAAACGAUGCCUUAGCGUCGAACGCUGCACGCGGCGCAGGCCCCGCACGCACAACGCCGACCCUACGGGCGUGAGCAGGGAGAACGGCGGGCGCGGGAAGAGAGGAGGAGGAGACGGGAAGAGAGGAAGGGUGGGAAGAGAGAAGGGGUGGGAAGAGAAGAGGAAGAGGCGGGCAGAGAGGAGGGGUGGGAAGAGGAGAGGAGGGGCGGGAAGAGAGGAGGAGGUGGUGGGAAAAGAGAGAGGAGGAAGCGGGCAGAGGAGGAGGCGAGAAGAGGAGGGGUGAGAAGAGAGAGGAGGAGGCGGCGGGCAGAGACGCGGGGUGGGCAGAGACGAGGAGGAGGGGCGGACAGAGCGGAGGAGGCGGACAGAGGCCUGAAGGAGGCGGGCAGAGAGGAGGAGGCGGGCAGAGAGGCGGAGGCGGAGGGCGGGCCGAGAGGCGGAGGGCGGGCCGAGGAGGGCGCGGGCGCUGUCGCGCCGUGCAGGCGUCACGAGCAGGGCCGGCGGCGGCGCGGGCGCGCUGCGGGAAGGGCGGGCAGUGUGAGAGGAGCCGGAGCCCCUCGGGCAGGAUUCAGCGUUCCCGUCCCUCGGCUCCGCCCGGCUGAGCCGGAGCCCUUCGCCGCUGCACUUCACAGCCUGGCACCUUGAUGGAAACGGAUGCUCAUGGUGGUCCGAGAUAUUUGUGGGGGUUAAAAGAUUUGAACUCCAGCUGAAUAAAACAAGGGCUGAAAAUUGAAGGAUGGCA